rnacentral:lncRNA from 10 species
CUGGGAAGGUUUAUGGCUAAGAUAUCAAGUUGUGGUCAAUAUCUACAAGCACCAUGCACUCCUGCUUCUCUUUUGCCAUAUAGAUUUUCUCAGUUUUUCGUUUGCUUUUCAGUAAGAGCAAAUAUAUUAAUAUUUUUUCUUUAUAGUGUUUUAAUGUUUUAUUGAGAUUUACAUUACAUUACAUUACAUUAUAUUACAUUACAUUGGAGGGUUGGUUGAUAUACGUUAUACCAGCUCAGUGAUUCAGCAGCAUUAGGGGCGUAGAGAGGGGGCUUGUGUAGUUACAGCAAAGGAAUAUUUUCCACAAUAGAAGUGUUUUGGUUGUUGUUGUUGUCUUUGUUUUAAUGGUGGUAGUGGUGGUGGUAGUUAUUUGAUUUUCACAGUAGACCUGUAAGGUACUAUUUAAGAAACGGGCUUGAGAAACAGGUUCAGAGAUUUUAAGCUUGUAUAUCAUGUAAUUGCGUGGAAUACAGUUGGUAAUUAUUAAAUAUUUAUUUAAUGAAUGAAGUUACAAUGAUAGCAUUAAAGCUCAGGACUGGCUGACAUCAAAGCUUGAGCUUUUAAUCCCUAUUCCUCAAAAUAUCUCUUCUACUUUUGUCAUGGCAAAUGAAACCACUUUCUCCAGAAUGGGAAUUGCAUAUUGAUCCUCCCUGGCUUCCUUUAAUCUUUUAUUUAUGACACUGUAUCUGUCAGAAAUUCCUUAAAUUUUUUUCUAUAGAGCUUGUUUCCUUCUCAAGUUUUCAGUGCAAUAUGGGCUUUCCAAAUUUUUUUAUGUGUUUGUGCACACAUGCAUGUGCAUGUGGAGGGUGUAUGUGUGUGUUUUAAAUAAUUUCAC